AGCCUCAUUCUUAAUGAGAAGGGCACUGUUGGUCAUAUUGUCCAGAAAUUGUUCAUGGGACUAAAUUGAGACACAAGUUCUGCUUACAUCACAGUAAAUUUAUUGAAAUGGUGAUAAUGAGACUGUUAACCUUU
ensembl:snoRNA